AUUGAACGCUAGCGGGAUGCUUUACACAUGCAAGUCGAACGGCAGCACGAGAGAGCUUGCUCUCUUGGUGGCGAGUGGCGGACGGGUGAGUAAUAUAUCGGAACGUGCCCAGUAGCGGGGGAUAACUACUCGAAAGAGUGGCUAAUACCGCAUACGCCCUACGGGGGAAAGGGGGGGAUUCUUCGGAACCUCUCACUAUUGGCGCGGCCGAGAUCGGAUUAGCUAGUUGGUGGGGUAAAGGCUCACCAAGGCAACGAUCCGAAGCCGGUUUGAGAGGACGACCAGCCACACUGGGACUGAGACACGGCCCAGACUCCUACGGGAGGCAGCAGUGGGGAAUUUUGGACAAUGGGGGAAACCCUGAUCCAGCCAUCCCGCGUGUAUGAUGAAGGCCUUCGGGUUGUAAAGUACUUUUGGCAGAGAAGAAAAGGUACCUCCUAAUACGAGGUACUGCUGACGGUAUCUGCAGAAUAAGCACCGGCUAACUACGUGCCAGCAGCCGCCGUAAAAC
rnacentral:rRNA from 1 species